rnacentral:rRNA from 1 species
UACGGAGGGUGCAAGCGUUAUCCGGAAUCACUGGGUUUAAAGGGUGCGUAGGCGGUCCGGUAAGUCAGAUGUGAAAGCUCGCAGCUUAACUGUGGAAUUGCAUUUGAUACUGUCGGACUUGAAUCAAGAUGAGGUAGGCGGAAUGUGUCAUGUAGCGGUGAAAUGCUUAGAUAUGACAUAGAACACCGAUUGCGAAGGCAGCUUACUAGACUUGUAUUGACGCUGAGGCACGAAAGAGUGGGGAGCGAACAGG